ACUUUACUUUGUGUUUUUUUGCAGGUCCAAUAAAACUAUGAAAAAUCAAAUACACAAGUGACCCAUGGUUACAACAAUCAAAUGAAAAAUGAUCAAUACAGCUCCACUAUGUAAAUGAAUCCUCGACAACUAAGGAAUAUGAAAAGCAGCAGCCACAGUCAAAUCACAGUGUCUGAAUACAUCUAAAUGGAUUUUUGGUUAAUGCAGACAUGGAGUUUGGUGUGCUGGUUACCAUAAAAGCUUUUCUGGUGAAGAUGCAUCUACAGACGUCUUAUUUAUGGAUUGGUAGAAAUACUUUGCGGGUAUAUCGGAUCGGCACUAUAAGGCAGGAGAGCAGGAGAAAGAGAAAUCUUGAUCUAAUGUAUAAAUGUAAUAAUCUACAGUCUUGUUAAUAUAUUAUGUUAGUAAUGC
rnacentral:lncRNA from 1 species